rnacentral:lncRNA from 1 species
AUUUAUAUUUCAUAAGUUAAGAAAAACAAAAAUGUCUAGAGUACCAAAGUCUAUUACAUAUCGUAGUGCGUUUUCAUAGGAAAUGCAACAAUGAUAUACCAAAAGGAUAAAGGUUUAAUACAUUAUGCCAACAAACGUCACGACUAAUUACUUUGGAUCCGGAUGCUAUUGCUCUCUUACAGGACUGGACCAAAUCGUUUAGGCCAAGAACAACAUUGGAUAAAACUUAACAGACUGAUCCAUUCCACUUACUAUUGAUCUUCUUCACACUAUAUGAAAACUCUAAACCAAACCAUUUGUUGCAACAACAUGCAAAUUCUGUACUGCAGACAAUUAACAGAGUGUUUAAGCAUGUAAAGGUAACUGACUCCAAUAUCAACAAUUCUGUGCACCACCAUACUAAACCAAAUCAUUCAUUCCACCAGUAACAACUCUGCACAUGAGACCAGAAGGAAUUAACCCAGUGCCUGAACACUUAAUCAUGGACGCAAAUUACUUAAGCUGCAUCAGCCUGUGAGCCCACUCCCUAGUGCACAAAACAUCGAACAGAUUGCGGGGCUCAAGGACCAACCUGUUAGGCUGUUACAUAGUGUGUCUGCGUGAGCCCAAGCAUACAGAGGAGGAGGGAGGUGACCCACGAGCUUCCUGCACUCCUCCUACCGAGUGCCAAGGGGGUAGGGAGGAGACGCUGGGCAGCGUGAGGUCGAGGAUGGGGGUCAGGGCGACGGCGGUGGCACGGCGACAGGGGGUGUGCGGCAGGUCGCGGGGAAGGGCGCUCAUCCUCCUGCCAGGUCCGAUGGGGAAGAGGGAGCCAACCCAUGAGCUGGCCACCAGAAAUAAUGAGAGGAAAACUUUAAAAAAAUCAAUGAAAGAACAAUCACAUGGAGAAGCAAUCCAAACAUUCCAAUAUCGCGUUCCAGUAAAACAUGGACAUGAUCCAUCAAAGAGCGACAGAGGGAGUAAGAAUUAGGAUGUUACAUAAAUAGCACAGAAAUGUAGCAAGUACAAAAGAUAGUACAGAAUGAUCGUGAUGCAAGAGAGUGCACUGAAAUUUAACCUUCACUCUCGGCAACGCAUAUCGGAUCGUCGUUCGUCGACCCUUUCAUGAUGUGGUUGCUACCAGUGCUCUGAGAAACAAAAUUGCGUUAAAAUAAUCCGGCAAAACAUACGAUGACUGGGAAUAGUAAAGGUGAGAUCAUAUAAAAGGUCAAAUACAACUCAUAUACUGUGACUCUGUACAUCAAGUAACAAUCUUAUUGUCACUACUCUAUUCACGAAAAAAUGGUAGUAAACAUAUUGUUAGUCCAGUGUACUUCUGUGUAGUUACAAUCUCUGCUCCUUCAAAGGAUUUAGUGUCUAUCCUAUUUUUAUGUUUAGUUAUAGGCACGUCCAUACACUUCGUAGGAACAGGGGCACAAGCGUAGCUUAGAAGUGGAAUAAGUAAUGUACUCCUCUCGCUCGCUCGCUCAAAUUCAAUGUCAUAAGAACAUGCACAGAGGUUAAAUUAAGAAGUCCAAGACAAAUUCAAUGUAGAAUCCAUAUUUUUAGAAUGGCCAACGAUUAUGUGUAAGACAAUGCAUGAUAUUUUGUACCACAAAGUAAUCUUAUAAUGUUGCAGGAGGCUAUAUUCAAGUUUUACCUUCUAUACCUCAAUGUGAAGUGCAAACCUGAAGCAUCAUCUGACCAUGGCGACUAACGGAGCGACAAACUAAUUAAUUGAGGCAUUUUCCUGCACUCAAGAGGCAGAGAGUACUCCAGCACAAUUUGGAUCAGGAACAGGAACAGUUUGAGCUUAUAAACUAUAAUUGGAUCAUGAAAAUCGCAGUAGCAGAGAUCCUAAAUAAUUCUUAUAAACUGAACCGGAACAAUUUGAGCUUAUAAACUCAUAUUUUCAGUUAAAUUAUCACAACGGUACUCUUUGACAAUGCAUCAUACAAUAUAAAUUACACCUGCAAGAAGAAUGAAGAACAAUCUCUAGGAUUACAAAACUCAGAACUAUCCUAAAACUCCAUUAGCAGAAAUACAGACUGAAUAUUUCACACAACACUGAUUUUUGCAUUGCGCCAAGCAUGCUACCAACAUGUGUUUUUGAGCUGCUGAAUAUGGGGUGACCAAGAGAAGCUUUUCAAUUUCCUAAGGAGACAACAAUGUAUAGAAGAGAGAUAGCCACCCCGUGUAAAUUUGAGCACAACCAGGAUCUAUAAAAGUGACCAAAAUGGUAGGUCCUACCAGGAUCUAUAGAAGUGACCAAAAUUCCCAAUUCCAAAUGCCAAGCAACUACGGGUUUAUAAACAUGGCAAGGUCAUACGAAAAAACACAUGACAACAAGGUAUGAUUAAUCUGACAACCACUCAAUGGUUAAUAUGGUCAAAACGGUUAAAAAACAUGGCAACUGCUGACAUGGACUAUCAAAUUAAAUCCCCCCUUGCACAGAAAUACACUCCCAAGAAAUAAAAAAUGGUAGUUAUAUUCGAAACAAUUAUGGUUUGUGUCUAGAGGAAACAUCACAAAAAAAUAUCUCACUAAAACAAAAAAGGUUGGCAGUUGUAUACUACAGUUGUGUAGUCGGCACACACCUUAUUGUCUGUCCGCCUGCCCCUUGCAUCCGGAUCCAGCUUUCUUCCUGCUUGGCAUAUCGACAACCCCUCCCCCUAUUUAAGAAAACACACAGAGGAGGAAGAAACACACCAUGCGAGAGAGGGCACUUCUCACAUAACCAAUAUGCAAUUCAGGUUAGCUUCUCCCCAAGGAUCAAAUGCAUGCAUUUUGUUCAGGUAUAUAUUCGAAACAAUUAUGGUUUGUGUCUAGAGGAAACAUCACAAAAAAAUAUCUCACUAAAACAAAAAAGGUUGGCAGUUGUAUUACCGCAGUUGUGUAGUCGGCACGCACCUUAUUGUCUGUCCGCCUGCCCCUUGCAUCCGGAUCCAGCUUUCUUCCUGCUUGGCAUAUCGACGCCCCCUCCCCCUAUUUAAGAAAACACACAAAGGAGGAAGAAACACACCAUGAGAGAGGGAGAGAGGGCACUUCUCACAUAACCAAUAUGCAAUUCAGGUUAGCUUCUCCCCAAGGAUCAAAUGCAUGCCUCACUAUGUUACUUAGAAAAUGUCUUGGUAAGACAUAUAUACAAUAUUUAUGAAGCCCUCUAGUUUGAUAAGAAAAACAAUGGAGGAGCCGAGAUUUAGUGAUCCUUUAGCAUGGAACUAAAUAUGAAGGCAUGGGUACGACAUAGAAGCCCUUCUUCCACUAUAUGUUUAUCCACUCGAGGGGAAAUGAAUCACUUACUUUAUAUGAGAUAAUUUC